rnacentral:lncRNA from 1 species
UGAGAAAUAGUUAUACGUAAUAUCUUUUGCAGAUGACUUUUUGAAAAGAAAUCUAUGGACAAAGAAGCUGUUUUUCAACCUUUGCUGACAACUAAAGAGCAAAGAUGUGCUCUUAGUCCAUGGGUUUCAUACCUGCUCACUGAACACAGG